AAUAAGAGCUGGGAAAGACCCGUGCCAGCCGCCGCGGUAAUACGGGCAGCUCUAGUGGCGUUCGCGAAUAUUGGGCCUAAAGCGUACGUAGCCUGUUAAGUAAGUUCUUGUGAAAGCUCGCGACUUAAUCGUGAGAAUGGCCAGGAAAACUGUUUGACUUGGGACCGGAAGAGGUCGGAGGUAUUUCUUGGGUAGGGGUAAAAUCCUGUAAUCCUUGAAGGACCAUCGGUGGCGAAGGCGUCCGACUGGGACGGGUCCGACGGUGAGGUACGAAAGCUAGGGGAGCGACCCGGAUUAGAUACCCGGUUAGUCCUAGCCGUAAAUGAUGUCUGUUUGGUAUUGCACUCCUUACGAGGGAUUGCAGUGCCGUAGGGAAGCCGUAAACAGACCGCCUGGGAGUACGCCGCAAGGC
rnacentral:rRNA from 1 species